rnacentral:rRNA from 1 species
UGGGGAAUAUUGGACAAUGGGGGCAACCCUGAUCCAGCAAUGCCGCGUGUGUGAAGAAGGCCUUCGGGUUGUAAAGCACUUUCAUUGAGGAGGAAAAGCUAUUGCUUAAUACGUAAUAGCCGUGACGUUACUCAAAGAAGAAGCACCGGCUAACUCCGUGCCAGCAGCCGCGGUAAUACGGAGGGUGCGAGCGUUAAUCGGAAUUACUGGGCGUAAAGCGCGCGUAGGCGGUUUGCUAAGUCAGAUGUGAAAUCCCCGGGCUUAACCUGGGAACUGCAUUUGAGACUGGUAGGCUAGAGUGUGGUAGAGGUGAGUGGAAUUUCAGGUGUAGCGGUGAAAUGCGUAGAGAUCUGAAGGAACAUCAGUGGCGAAGGCGACUCACUGGGCCAUUACUGACGCUGAGGUGCGAAAGCGUGGGUAGCAAACAGGAUUAGAUACCCU